rnacentral:rRNA from 1 species
AACGAACGCUGGCGGUAUGCCUAACACAUGCAAGUCGAACGAUUGCCUUCGGGUGAUAGUGGCGCACGGGUGCGUAACGCGUGGGAAUCUGCCCUUAGGUUCGGAAUAACAGCUGGAAACGGCUGCUAAUACCGGAUGAUAUCGCGAGAUCAAAGAUUUAUCGCCUGAGGAUGAGCCCGCGUUGGAUUAGGUAGUUGGUGGGGUAAAGGCCUACCAAGCCGACGAUCCAUAGCUGGUCUGAGAGGAUGAUCAGCCACACUGGGACUGAGACACGGCCCAGACUCCUACGGGAGGCAGCAGUGGGGAAUAUUGGACAAUGGGCGCAAGCCUGAUCCAGCAAUGCCGCGUGAGUGAUGAAGGCCCUAGGGUUGUAAAGCUCUUUUACCCGGGAAGAUAAUGACUGUACCGGGAGAAUAAGCCCCGGCUAACUCCGUG